UACGGGGGGGGUAAGCGUUGUUCGGAAUUACUGGGCGUAAAGGGCUCGUAGGCGGCCAACUAAGUCAUACGUGAAAUCCCUCAGCUUAACUGGGGAACUGCGUCUGAUACUGGAUGGCUUGGAUUCGGGAGAGGAAUGCGGAAUUCCAGGUGUAGCGGUGAAAUGCGUAGAUAUCUGGAGGAACACCGGUGGCGAAGGCGGGUUGCUAGGCUGACACUGACGCUGAGGCGCGAAAGCCAGGGGAGCAAACGGG
rnacentral:rRNA from 1 species